rnacentral:rRNA from 1 species
UGGCGAACGGGGUGAGUAACACGUGGGCAACCUGCCCAAAAGAGGGGGAUAACACUUGGAAACAGGUGCUAAUACCGCAUAACCAUAGUUACCGCAUGGUAACUAUGUAAAAGGUGGCUAUGCUACCGCUUUUGGAUGGGCCCGCGGCGCAUUAGCUAGUUGGUGGGGUAAAGGCUUACCAAGGCAAUGAUGCGUAGCCGAACUGAGAGGUUGAUCGGCCACAUUGGGACUGAGACGCGGCCCAAACUCCUACGGGAGGCAGCAG